GGCGCGGGGCGAUUUCCUUCCGCGUCGGAGCGCGCGGGCCGCGCCCCCGCACCCGAGCGCAGCCCCGGAAAGCGGCCGGAGGGGACCUUUCGGCCCCGGUGUCAGUCCCUCCCGGAGUGGCUGUGACAGCAGCGGCAGCAACAGCUUCGACGCAGUGGGUGAUGUCUCAUCUCGCCCCUGUACCCUCUAGUGACCCAGUCUAAAAGCUUCCUGCCACUCAAAAGACUACACCUCCGACGGUGCUAGAGACAGCUCGUUCUUUCUCCGAAGUCAGUCCUGUCCUUGGAGAAGGCAGCGGGGCCGGAGAGGGACAGUGCAGCGUCUUCGCUGCAGCCCUGGUCUCCUGAGCUGCCAGCCCAAGGUGGAGGACCCUGUGGCCAUUUCAUCCCUACCCUACUCUCAAAUAAAGUCCCACAUUGUGACCUCUAAAGAUCAAGUUGCUUUUCUGAUUACUCAUGACUUUCAUCUCUCUACGCUUCAGGGGAUUUCCUUUUUUCACAAAUGGCUUUUCCUGAAGCCUUAAGUCCUAUUUCCAUUGUUUUGAUUGAUUCUUCCUGCACAAAACAUGUUGUUUGUGCCAGUGACCACAAGAGGACACAAUUUCCUAGAGAACUUUGUUUUAAAAGAAACGUACAGAAGAAGACAACUGACAAAAUAGCAAAAAUACUGCACAAUCUGUGACUGUCAUUUUGGUUACAUUCCUAAUCACAUUUUCUGAGACCCUGCUGGAGGAACUGAGCAGUGGACCAAAAGAGCUGGAAAGAGAAGAGAAAAAGACAAGAAAGAAAGAACAGAGUAAGAAUAAGGAGGAGAUCAAGAGAGAAAAGAAUGUGGAAAGAGUGAAAGAGAGAAUGGAACAACUGAUCAAGACUGACAGAAAAAGAAUGAGGCUUAAUAUGUAGGGGUCAAUGAUAAAAGGCUUAAAUCACAAGAUACAGAAAGAAGUGCGCUUAGUGGGAAGCAGAAAAGCACCAAGAUUAUUUGCCUCAGUUUCUGCUCAAAGAGACUGUUGUAAGUAGCUACCUGUCCCUUAGUGUAGGCAUUUGAUUUUAAAAAUCCCUGUCAUUCUCACUGAAGUCAUAACAAGAAGUAAGGAACUGGGUGGAGGGCCAUGAAACUUUUAAUUGAGGUUAAUGUUCAUCUAAUAGAUAUGAUCUAUCCAGAA